rnacentral:rRNA from 16 species
CGGCAAAUUAGAUCCGUAACUUCGGGAUAAGGAUUGGCUCUAAGGGUUAGGUGGUUAGGGCCUUUGUUGGAAGCGACUGCUGGACCUGUCUGGACUGCUUUGGGAAACUGAGGCGGACCGGACGGGACCGGCGGACGUGGAAGGCAUUGGCAGCCUUCGGGCGUCCUUUCCACGAUGAAUAACCAACUUAGAACUGGUACGGACAAGGGGAAUCUGACUGUCUAAUUAAAACAUAGCAUUGCGAUGGCCAGAAAGUGGUGUUGACGCAAUGUGAUUUCUGCCCAGUGCUCUGA